rnacentral:rRNA from 1 species
AUUGAACGCUAGCGGCAUGCCUUACACAUGCAAGUCGAACGGUAACAGGUCUUCGGAUGCUGACGAGUGGCGAACGGGUGAGUAAUACAUCGGAACGUGCCUAGUAGUGGGGGAUAACUACUCGAAAGAGUGGCUAAUACCGCAUGAGAUCUACGGAUGAAAGCAGGGGAUCGCAAGACCUUGUGCUACCAGAGCGGCCGAUGGCAGAUUAGGUAGUUGGUGGGAUAAAAGCUUACCAAGCCGACGAUCUGUAGCUGGUCUGAGAGGACGAUCAGCCACACUGGGACUGAGAAACGGCCCAGACUCCUACGGGAGGCAGCAGUGGGGAAUUUUGGACAAUGGGCGAAAGCCUGAUCCAGCAAUGCCGCGUGCAGGAUGAAGGCCUUCGGGUUGUAAACUGCUUUUGUACGGAACGAAAAGCCCCGGGUUAAUACCCUGGGGUCAUGACGGUACCGUAAGAAUAAGCACCGGCUAACUACGUGCCAGCAGCCGCCGUAA